rnacentral:rRNA from 1 species
AAAAAAGGUAAGCUACUAAGAGCGAAUGGUGGAUGCCUUGACUGGUAAAGGCGAUGAAGGACGUACUAGACUGCGAUAAGCUACGGGGAGCUGUCAAGAAGCUUUGAUCCGUAGAUUUCCGAAUGGGGCAACCCAAUGUAUAGAGAUAUACAUUACCUAUAUAGGAGCGAACGAGGGGAAUUGAAACAUCUUAGUACCCUCAGGAAAAGAAAUCAAUAGAGAUUGCGUCAGUAGCGGCGAGCGAAAGCGCAAGAGGGCAAACCCAGUGCUUGCACUGGGGGUUGUAGGACUGCAAUGUGCAAGAGGUGAGUUUAGCAGAACAUUCUGGAAAGUAUAGCCAUAGAGGGUGAUAGUCCCGUAUGCGAAAAACAAACCUUAGCUAGCAGUAUCCUGAGUAGGGCGGGACACGAGAAAUCCUGUCUGAAGCUGGGUCGACCACGAUCCAACCCUAAAUACUAAUACCAGAUCGAUAGUGCACAAGUACCGUGAGGGAAAGGUGAAAAGAACUGAGGUGAUCAGAGUGAAAUAGAACCUGAAACCAUUUGCUUACAAUCAUUCAGAGCCCUAUGUAGCAAUACAGGGUGAUGGACUGCCUUUUGCAUAAUGAGCCUGCGAGUUGUGGUGUCUGGCAAGGUUAAGCAAACGCGAAGCCGUAGCGAAAGCGAGUCUGAAUAGGGCGCUUAGUCAGAUGCUGCAGACCCGAAACGAAGUGAUCUAUCCAUGAGCAAGUUGAAGCUAGUGUAAGAACUAGUGGAGGACUGAACCCAUAGGCGUUGAAAAGCCCCGGGAUGACUUGUGGAUAGGGGUGAAAGGCCAAUCAAACUUCGUGAUAGCUGGUUCUCUCCGAAAUAUAUUUAGGUAUAGCGUUGUGUCGUAAUAUAAGGGGGUAGAGCACUGAAUGGGCUAGGGCAUACACCAAUGUACCAAACCCUAUCAAACUCCGAAUACCUUAUAUGUAAUCACAGCAGUCAGGCGGCGAGUGAUAAAAUCCGUCGUCAAGAGGGAAACAACCCAGACUACCAGCUAAGGUCCCUAAAUCUUACUUAAGUGGAAAACGAUGUGAAGUUACUUAAACAACCAGGAGGUUGGCUUAGAAGCAGCCAUCCUUUAAAGAAAGCGUAAUAGCUCACUGGUCUAGUGAUUUUGCGCGGAAAAUAUAACGGGGCUAAAGUAAGUACCGAAGCUGUAGACUUGCGCACAACUUAGAUUAUUUAAGUUUAGAAUAUGAGAAACUAAGUUAUAUGUUUAGUUAUAUUUUUACUGAUUUUUAUAGAGUAAAGAUAGAAAUAAAACUUAGUAAAAUCAGUAAAAAUAUUCUUAGACUAAAGUUAAGUAGUUUAAGUUGUGUGCAAGUGGUAGGAGAGCGUUCUAUUUGCGUCGAAGGUAUACCGGUAAGGAGUGCUGGAGCGAAUAGAAGUGAGCAUGCAGGCAUGAGUAGCGAUAAUUAAUGUGAGAAUCAUUAACGCCGUAAACCCAAGGUUUCCUACGCGAUGCUCGUCAUCGUAGGGUUAGUCGGGUCCUAAGUCGAGUCCGAAAGGGGUAGACGAUGGCAAAUUGGUUAAUAUUCCAAUACCAACAUUAGUGUGCGAUGGAAGGACGCUUAGGGCUAAGGGGGCUAGCGGAUGGAAGUGCUAGUCUAAGGUCGUAGGAGGUUAUACAGGCAAAUCCGUAUAACAAUACUCCGAGAACUGAAAGGCUUUUUGAAGUCUUCGGAUGGAUAGAAGAACCCCUGAUGCCGUCGAGCCAAGAAAAGUUUCUAAGUUUAGCUAAUGUUGCCCGUACCGUAAACCGACACAGGUGGGUGGGAUGAGUAUUCUAAGGCGCGUGGAAGAACUCUCUUUAAGGAACUCUGCAAAAUAGCACCGUAUCUUC